rnacentral:rRNA from 1 species
CAGACCUCUAAUCGGAAAAGACCACCCGCCGAAUUUAAGCAUAUCACUAAGCGGAGGAGAAGAAACUAACCAGGAUUUCCCUAGUAACGGCGAGCGAACCGGAAAGAGCCC